rnacentral:lncRNA from 1 species
UACUUUUUUAUAGCUAACUAUUGUACAGGCUAGCUAUAAGGUGGGCUAUAAGACUGCUUAUAGCUAGCAGUUGGCUAUACUAUUAACCAUGCUCUAACAGACUUAACGAGUACAUCCUUACCCCCUGCUGGCAACGAUUUCUCCAUCCAACCCUUUACUUUGUUUCAGAUUCUGUCACACAAAUAUUUGAAAGCGUCAUUCUUAGAAUUAC